AGCGAACGCUGGCGGCAGGCCUAACACAUGCAAGUCGAACGAACUCUUCGGAGUUAGUGGCGGACGGGUGAGUAACACGUGGGAACGUGCCUUUUGGUUCGGAAUAACUCAGGGAAACUUGUGCUAAUACCGAAUGCGCCCUUCGGGGGAAAGAUUUAUCGCCAUUAGAGCGGCCCGCGUCUGAUUAGCUAGUUGGUGAGGUAACGGCUCACCAAGGCGACGAUCAGUAGCUGGUCUGAGAGGAUGACCAGCCACACUGGGACUGAGACACGGCCCAGACUCCUACGGGAGGCAGCAGUGGGGAACCUUGCGCAAUGGGCGAAAGCCUGACGCAGCCAUGCCGCGUGAAUGAUGAAGGUCUUAGGAUUGUAAAAUUCUUUCACCGGGGACGAUAAUGACGGUACCCGGAGAAGAAGCCCCGGCUAACUUCGUG
rnacentral:rRNA from 1 species